UCCCUGGUGGCUCAGAUGGUAAAGCAUCUGUCUGCAAUGCGGGAGACCUGGGUUUGAUCCCGGGUCAGGAAG
rnacentral:tRNA from 1 species